AUUGAACGCUGGCGGAAUGCUUUACACAUGCAAGUCGAACGGUGGAGGGGCAACCCUUGAGAGUGGCGAACGGGUGAGUAAUGUAUCGGAACAUGCCCAGUCGUGGGGGAUAACGUAGCGAAAGUUACGCUAAUACCGCAUACGAUCUAUGGAUGAAAGCGGGGGAUCGCAAGACAGUGCCCGAAUGGUGUGGCAGAUAUCAGAGUAGGGAGUGGGUGGGGUACAGGCCUACGAAGCCGACGAUCUGUAGCUGGUGUGAGAGGACGACCAGCCAGACUAGGACUGACACACGGACAAGAAUCCUACGGGAGGCAGCAGUGGGGAAUUUUGGACAAUGGGCGCAAGCCUGAUCCAGCCAUUCCGCGUGCAGGAAGAAGGCCUUCGGGUUGUAAACUGCUUUUGUACGGAACGAAACGCGCUGAGCUAAUACCUCGGCGUAAUGACGGUACCGUAAGAAUAAGCACCGGCUAACUACGUGCCAGCCGCCGCCGUAAAAC
rnacentral:rRNA from 1 species